UACGAAGGGGGCUAGCGUUGCUCGGAAUGACUGGGCGUAAAGGGCGCGUAGGCGGUUUGUACAGUCAGGUGUGAAAUUCCCGGGCUCAACCUGGGGGCUGCACUUGAUACGUAUGGACUGGAGUGGGGAAGAGGGUCGUGGAAUUCCCAGUGUAGAGGUGAAAUUCGUAGAUAUCGGGAGGAACACCAGUGGCGAAGGCGGCGACCUGGACGGACACUGACGCUGAGACGCGAAAGCGUGGGGAGCAAACAGG
rnacentral:rRNA from 1 species